AGAAUCAACGCUGGCGGCGUGCCUAACACAUGCAAGUCGCACGAGAAAGGGACUUCGGUCCUGAGUACAGUGGCGCACGGGUGAGUAACACGUGAAUAAUCUACCUCCGAGUGGGGAAUAACUGAGAGAAAUCUUAGCUAAUACCGCAUAACACUUACGAGUCAAAGCAGCAAUGCGCUUGGAGAGGAGUUCGCGGCAGAUUAGUUAGUUGGCGGGGUAAUGGCCCACCAAGACGAUGAUCUGUAUCCGGCCUGAGAGGGCGCACGGGACACACUGGAACUGAAACACGGUCCAGACUCCUACGGGAGGCAGCAGUGGGGAAUUUUGCGCAAUGGGGGAAACCCUGACGCAGCAACGCCGCGUGGAGGAUGAAAUCCCUUGGGAUGUAAACUCCUUUCGAUAGGGAAGAUAAUGACGGUACCUAUAGAAGAAGCCCCGGCUAACUUCGCGCCAGCAGCCGC
rnacentral:rRNA from 1 species